rnacentral:rRNA from 1 species
UACGUAGGGGGCAAGCGUUGUCCGGAAUCAUUGGGCGUAAAGAGCGUGUAGGCGGUCCGGUAAGUCGGUUGUGAAAGUCGGGGGCUCAACCCUCGGAGGCCGACCGAUACUGUCGGGCUAGAGUCCGGAAGAGGCGAGUGGAAUUCCUGGUGUAGCGGUGAAAUGCGCAGAUAUCAGGAGGAACACCAAUGGCGAAGGCAGCUCGCUGGGACGGUACUGACGCUGAGACGCGAAAGCGUGGGGAGCAAACAGG